CCAAAGCACCAUCAACUGCUACGAAGGGGGAAUGGAGUCGCUGCGGCGUUUGGGUCGCGCCGACGGGAGAUUGCCUUCAACAUGAUCGACUGCGAUUUCAAGUCUUCCAGGGAAAAUGGUCCGUCGGGGAACAGGAAGGAGGGGAUUCAUACCAGACCAUACUGUCUUACCUGGUUGAGCUCGAGCCGAAGCCGUUGGUUCUGGUGAGGCUUCUGGAUGAAGGAUCUGCAGUGAGAUCAAGGACAACCUUGUUUCCAUUCAUUUGAGAACAAGCACAGAGACUACAACAACACCAUGAGGCUUCUGGAAGGAAGGAUCUGCAGUGAGAUGAAGAACAAACAAGCAGAGAGACUACAACAGCACCAGGUAAGCUAAUCUGAUACUGUAUUAGCUUCUUGCUCAGCAGCCGUUAGUGUGCUCUGUUCUUUUUUUUGAAGGAUGUGUGCUCUGUUCUUGGAAGAAUGCAUGUCAUGCUCAACUUGCGUCUGCAUAUAUUUUUAGUGAUCACUAGAGACCCUUUCCGAAGGUUUUUGUGACAAGCCCUUGGUUGAUUUAUUAGUAACUUUGCGCUUCAUAAGAAAGCAUAGCUUAUUCAUUCUCCUUUUUUUUUCCGGUCUGGAUUCUAACAAAACUAGAAUUGCAUCCCAAUUCCAGGAUAACUCUACAUGUGUGAAUUGCGUUGGAUGUUUGCUUUGGCGCAGUUCUUAGGAAUCAGAUGCAUGUACGUGUGCAUUCUUCACGACAUGAGUUCUUAACUUGUUGUGCAGGUGCUAACUGUUAAGUGAAGGUACUUUAUUGCAGGGAAGGAUCGUGAUCUAUCCAAGAAAUUUUGGAGGCGAAAGAAGAACCUAUUUUCUUGUUCUACAUGUAAUUGUAGCACAUAUGUGGAAUAAGCAGUAUUUUCUUUCUUGUCAAUCAGGGCAAGCACUGCAUCCUGGGUAGCAACUAUUUAGUUUAAACAUUGAUCUGUGUUCAGUGCUAAAAGGCAAUCAUGCCACAGAGCUAUUUAGUUCAAAUAGAAGCAUAAUCACUUUGCCUAUUUAGAUAUCUUCGCAUGCUUGACGUGGUUACCAUAUAGUUUGGAUAGUGUUGUAUGGUUAGUUCGGUUCAGCUUUGAUCUUGCAUUUUUCUUUUCCUACGGAUAAGUAUUACAGCAUUGUGCUACAAUGUACUACAAUUAGAGGAUAAGUAUUACAGCAUUGUGCUACAAUGUACUACAACUAGAAUGGGGCUUGUGAUUUGUGAAAUCACAUUGUUCUUGCUUUUGCUAUAUGUUUUCCUUACCACUGUAGAAUGACACUUUUUUUUUUUUUGCUUCUCCGGCUCACAUUGUUUCAAUGCAGUAAAUGGUCUCCGGGGCAACAAAGUGAAAGUGUAUUUGAUGACAAGGUGUUCACAGUGCCUAGGUGGUCUUGCUGCAGUGCUGCUAAAUCACAAAUUCCUUCUCUUUUUGCAAGGUUCAAUGAUUAUCUAGCCAUGAAUCAAAUGGAACGUUGGAUGAAAAUAUGACAUGGUUGGCGGUUGCAAGGUUGUUCGGUUUGUGGGGGCGUGCCGCCUGCGGACCUCCGGCUCGCGGAGGGGAUGUGCCCAGAAUUGCUGUCCGUGCCCGCGCAUACCAUUGCUGCCGCGCUCCGGUUCUUGACAGAGGCGCCGUGCGUCCCGGAGCCCGACCUCCCGCGCCUGCUCGUGUUCCCCGUCGCGGCGUGGCUCCGGCCCACGCUCUUCUUCCUUCCCGUGCUCGCAUCCCCGACCUGCACCGCCGCGGUCUCCCGCUCUCCGGCCCCGCUGCAGCCUCGCGCGCAAUAACUCGGUCAUGCAGACCUGCUUGCUUUACACGCUCGUGGAGAAAAACAGAGAGAGGACAUUAAAGAGUUCGAGAGGGGCGCGAAGGGGAUGAGUUUCUAAAGCUUGAUACGAAGGAAGAGAAGCAGGUGGCAUGUGCUUGUUGAUUUGGGAGUACAGAGUGGAGCCAUUUGGUUCUUCUGGCCUCAAGAUGAAGCCGUCAUCCUCCACACCGGCAUGGUCUGUCAAUUAUCUCUCUCAUCAUGUAUACUUGGACCCUACAUUCUGUUGGUAGUUUUGUUUGUAGGAAUAUGCAGCCUUGUAGCACUAAUUCAGUGGCAAUUUCCCGCUGAAGUUUUGAUGUUCCAUUUGGUAGUUUUGUUUGUAGGAAAUUGCAGCCUUGUAGCACUAAUUCAGCGGCAAUUUCCCGUUGAAGUUUUGAUGUUCCA